UACGUAGGGCCUAGCGUUGUCCGGAUUUAUUGGCGUAAAGAGCUCGUAGGCGGUUUGGUGAGUCGGGUGUGAAUCUCCACGCUCAACGUGGAGGGCCACCGAUACUGCCAUGACUAGAGUCCGGUAGGGGAGUGUGGAAUUCCUGGUGUAGCGGUGAAAUGCGCAGAUAUCAGGAGGAACACCGGUGGGCGAAGGCGGGUCUCU
rnacentral:rRNA from 1 species